UACAUGGGGUGCAAACGUUGCUCGGAAUCAUUGGGCGUAAAGCGCGCGUAGGCGGUUACACAAGUUGGAUGUGAAAGCCCUCGGCUUAACUGAGGAAGUGCAUCCAAAACUGUGCAGCUAGAGUACUAAAGAGGGUCGCGGAAUUCCCGGUGUAGAGGUGAAAUUCGUAGAUAUCGGGAGGAACACCGGUGGCGAAGGCGGCGACCUGGGUAGAUACUGACGCUGAUGCGCGAAAGCGUGGGGAGCAAACAGG
rnacentral:rRNA from 1 species